GACGAACGUUGGCGGCGUGCUUAAUACAUGCAAGUCAACUGAAGCGGUGGUAGCAAUAUCGCUGUGGAGGUGGCGCACGGGUGAGUAACACGUAGGUAAUCUGCCUUCAGGUCUGGCAUAACUCCGGGAAACCGGGGCUAAUAGCAGAUGAUGCAGCGGCUCGACAUCGAGACAGUUGUUAAAGCUAUGGCGCCUGAAGAUGAGCCUGCGUCUGAUUAGCUAGUUGGCGGGGUAACGGCCCACCAAGGCAACGAUCAGUAGCUGGUCUGAGAGGAUGAUCAGCCACACUGGAACGGAGACACGGUCCAGACUCCUACGGGAGGCAGCAGUAAGGAAUAUUGCUCAAUGGGAGAAAUCCUGAAGCAGCAACGCCGCGUGAGGGACGAAGGGCUUUUGCUUGUAAACCUCUGUAGUGAGAGAAAAAAAUCCCAAUCUUUGGGACAUGAUGGUAUCUCAAAAGUAAGCCCCGGCUAACUACGUG
rnacentral:rRNA from 1 species